CUUAACUAGCGUCGGGUGUAAAACACGGACCGCAUGACCCUGACGUGUGUCUUGUUUGUUGAGUAAAUAAUCACCAUGGGGAUUAGGUUUAAAUCAGCAAAACAUGCUCGUAUUUUUAUUUUCGCUUUUACGGGAGGGUGCCUUGGUAUAUACUUUUUCCCAGUGAUUUAUUACAGUUUUGUUAGACCGUACAAGGAGAAACACGGUUAUCCAAUAAAACAGCCCUUGCCGAAACCACAACUAUACCCAUUUGUCGCCACAAGCCCAGGACCAUACAUCCCAAGCGAACACUCGGAGAAGUCUGAGGGUAGUAAAGCAGCGUCAACAUGACCUAUGAAUAGUGACCAGUGUUUGUUAUUGUGUGAUAAUCCGACAAAUUGGUGUGUUUCGUGUUGCUGGUAUAUCAUCAACAGUUUAUCUGGAACUAAGUUGAAGUUAAUGUCAUAUUUGAGUGUAUGAAGACUAAACUUCCUUCUGGUCAUGGAUGAUGAAUUUAAUUUUUUAAUUUUUUAUUUUAACAAAAAUUUAAUUUUGUUCAUGAACGAUUGCUUUUGCAGUAGGCUACUGAUAAAUCAUCAACAGUUUAUCUGGAACAAAGUUGAAGUUAAUGUCAUGUUGGAGUGUAUGAAGAUUAAACCACCUUCUGGUCAUGGAUGAUGAUUUUUUAAAUACAUAUAUAUAUAUACACACACACAAAUUGAAUCUCGUUCAUGAACGAUCGCUUUGCUGUAGUGUACAGUACGCAAACCAACAACAAAGACAACUAGGCAUAGGUGACCGCCUAGACGUUUUUCUGUCAGUUUUACUGAUUGCAGGUUGUGGAUGGCGUCACCACAGUAAAGUAUAAAAAGUUGUAU